UAGAAAUUAGUUAAUUUAUAACACUGGCUUGUCAUGCCUGAGUAACACGUCCCGAGUAUUUCUAU
rnacentral:tRNA from 1 species